CUACUACCUCUUGUCAUUGAUUAGAAUUAAGCAACCUGGAGGAAAUAAAUCUCGAUUAUUCUCGUCUCAACAUCAACAUUUUGCAAAGCAUUGGAGUAUUCACUUCUCUUAAAACUUUCUCUAUAUAGGUGUGCACUUAUUGGUUCCUUACCUAAUCACGGUAAAAUUUUCUAUACGAGCUUUUCAUUAUCUGAUUUCUCCUAUUUUGUUUUAGAAAACAAAAUUUAAUUAGAAAUUCUUCCAUGAUUUCAUAAAUUUUUCAGGAUGUUGUGAUCUAAGGAACCUUCAAGUGUUGGAUGUGAGUUGGAAUGCACUUGAGGGGAUGCUUCCUCAUUGUUUCAGUAACUUGACAUCUCUUCGUGAGUUAGAUAUCUCCAACAAUCGAUUUUCCGGAAAUCUAACUCCUUUAGCAAGUCUUACAUCGCUCAGAGUCAUUUCUCUUUCAAGUAAUCAUUUUCAAAUUCCAAUUUCAUUCGUACCACUUGCAAACUUUCCAAACCUUGAGGUCCUCUUGGCUGAUGAAACAAGUUGGAAAUGGAACCUUCCUUCUGUUGAAAAGUCAAAAAUGGUGGGAGGUGCAAUUGGCACCGAAAGAAAAAAAAUAGUUGGCAAGUUGUUUAAAGUUGAAAGGGAUAAUUGCAAUUUUGGUCCCUAAUUUUUUAGGCCAUUUGCAAGUUAGUCCCUGAACUUCAACUAUAAAUAGGCCUAACCAUUUCUCAUUUCAACCAUCCCAACCAAUCUUUCUCUUUUAGUUUUCUCUCUUCUCCCAUUUGAGAAUUCUUAAGGAAUUCUAUUUGUUUGUAAUACUUUGAAGAUAGUAAAGUUAUCAUCUGGUGUUAGUACCCGAGGACGUAGGUAUAAUUUACCGAACCUCGUUAAAACUCUUGUGUUCUUUUUUGUCCUAUUUUUCUUUCAAUAUUUGAGGGUAUAAUAGUAGUAUUUAAUUGUGCUAUUAAAUUACUAUAGAAGGGAUAUUCUGUCUAAGGAAAUACUUGGUAUUUAAGAGAUCCAUGUGAUCCACCUCUCUUUCCUGGGAAUUGAACUUUGUGUGAUUUUUUAGUACAAUAAUUUACACGCUUCCGACCCUAUUGGAACAACAAGUGGUAUCAAGAGCCGAAGGUUAAUUGUAGUAUGCUCUGUGGUUGCAGUUUAAACUGAUCUUCCACAUCAGAAAAGAUUUCCUUAGGUAUAUUGAAAGAUUAUGGAGAAAACGGUCGGUGUAGGAGCUUCAACAUCGUCCAUGUGGACAAGACCGACAAUUGCAAAUGCAAGAUUGGCCGUGGAGAUCUUUGAUGGCACGAGCCAUUUUGGUAUGUGGCAAAGUGAGGUUCUAGAUGCCCUUUUUCAGCAGGGUCUAGACAUUGCCAUUGAUGAAGAGAAACCAGAUGAUGUACAGGAGAAAGAUUGGAAGGCGAUCAAUCGGUUGGCAUGUGGCACAAUUCGAUCAUGCCUUUCUCGAAAGCAGAGGUAUGCUUUUUCAAAGGAGACUUCUGCAAAUAAGUUGUGGGUGGCACUGGAAGUAAAAUUGUCCAAAGCUGAAGAAUAAGGGAAAAGCUGCUGUAGAUGCUUGUGUUGCUAAGCAUGAUACUAGUGACUCUGAACUAUCACUGGUUGCAUCAUCAUCGUCGUUCCAUUCAGAUGAGUGGAUAUUGGAUUCGGGUUGUACCUAUCAUAUGUCCCCUAACCGGAAGUGGUUCUCUGAUUUAGUAGAACUAAAUGGAGGAGUUGUUUAUAUGGGCAAUGACAAUGCCUGUAAAACUGUUGGGAUAGGUUCAAUCCAAUUAAAGAAUCAAGAUGGAUCAAUCAGAGUUUUGACUGAUGUUCGGUACGUGCCCAGUUUGAAGAAAAAUCUCAUCUCAUUGGGAGCCUUGGAAUCCAAUGGUUCAGUUGUUACUAUGAGAGAUGGGAUUUUGAAAGUGACAUCUGGCGCACUUGUGAUAUUGAAGGGCAUCAGGAAAAAUAACUUGUAUUACUACCAAGGUAGUACAGUUAUUGGAGCAGUCGCUACAUCUUCCGGCAACAAAGAAUUGGACUCAAUACAGUUGUGGCAUAUGAAGUUGGGACAUGCCAGUGAAAAAUCCUUGCAAAUUCUGGCAAAGCAAGGAUUAUUGAAAGGUGCAAAGGCUUGCAAAUUAAAAUUUUGCGAGCAUUGUGUUCUGGGAAAGCAAAAGAGAGUGAAAUUCGGUACUGCUAUCCAUAAUACAAAAGGUAUUUUGGAAUAUGUUCACUCAGAUGUGUGGGGGCCUUCCAAGACACCUUCAUUGGAAGGAAAACACUACUUUGUUACUUUUGUUGAUGACUUUUCCAGAAGAGUUUGGGUGUAUACCAUGAGAACUAAGGAUGAAGUGCUUAGAGUUUUUCUUAAAUGGAAAACUAUGAUCGAAAACCAGACUGGCAAGAAAAUCAAGCGGCUUAGGACGGACAAUGGAGGGGAAUAUAAAAGUGAUCCGUUCUUCGAUGUGUGCCAAGAGUAUGGUAUUGUUCGACACUUCACAGUUAGGGAUACACCACAGCAGAAUGGAUUGGCAGAGUGUAUGAAUCGAACAUUGCUGGAGAAAGUUCGAUGUAUGUUGUCCAAUGCUGGGUUGGGCAAGCAAUUUUGGGCUGAGGCUGUGACAUACGCUAGCCAUCUUGUUAAUCGUUUGCCAUCAUCUGCAUUAGAAAGAAAAACUCCUAUGGAGGUAUGGUCUGGAAAACCGGCUACAGAUUAUGAUUCCUUACAUGUGUUUGGAACCACUGCAUAUUACCAUGUGAAGGAGUCAAAGUUAGAUCCGAGGGCAAAGAAAGCUCUCUUUAUGGGAAUCACUUCUGGAGUGAAGGGAUUUCGUCUUUGGUGCUUAAGCACAAAGAAAAUGAUCUGUAGCAGAGAUGUUACCUUUGAUGAAUCUGCCACAUUGAAAAAGGUAGCAGAUAAAGAUAUUCAGACGAGCAAUACUCCACAGCAGGUGGAGUGUACUCCAAAACAGGUGGAGUUUGAGCAAAUGGGGAUUUGCCCAGUUAAUAAGUCUAAUUCUCCAGCCACAAUGGAGGAAUUAGAGGUUGAAGAGGUUCUGACCCAAGAACCAUUAAGUACACCAGAACCAGUUGCAGUUGCAAGGCGACGGAGAGAAAUUCGUAAACCUGCUCGAUUUACUGAUAUGGUGGCCUACGCCGUUCCCGUUGUUGAUGAUAUUCCUAUCACUUAUCAAGAAGCAAUGCAAAGCUUAGAAAGUGAUAAAUGGAAAAGCGCCAUGGAUGAAGAAAUGCAGUCUCUCCGGAAGAACAAGACUUGGGAGUUGGCGCAAUUACCGAAAGGUAAAGGGGCAAUCGGAUGCAAGUGGGUAUUCGCAAAGAAAGAUGGAUCUCCUAGCAAGAAGGAUAUUCGCUACAAGGCAAGAUUGGUAGCUAAAGGCUACGCUCAGAAGGAGGGAAUUGACUACAAUGAUGUAUUUUCCCCUAUUGUGAAGCAUUCCUCCAUUAGAAUUUUGUUGGCCUUGGUAGCACAGUUGAAUUUGGAGCUAGCUCAACUUGAUGUUAAGACGGCUUUCUUGCAUGGUGAGUUAGAAGAGGAGAUCUAUAUGACUCAGCCUGAAGGAUACACAGAUGCUGGUGGUAGAAAUUGGGUUUGUAAGCUUAACAAAUCGCUAUAUGGAUUGAAGCAAUCCCCGAGGCAGUGGUACAAGCGAUUUGAUAGCUUUAUAAGAAGGCAGAAGUACACAAGAAGCAAAUAUGACAAUUGUGUAUAUUUGCAGAAGCUGCAUGACGGAUCUUUCAUUUAUCUACUCUUGUAUGUUGAUGAUAUGUUAAUCGCUUCGAAGAGCCAAAAUGAGAUAGAUAAGCUGAAGGCUCAGUUGAAUCAAGAGUUCGAGAUGAAAGAUCUAGGUGAGGCCAAGAAGAUUCUCGGCAUGGAGAUAAGUAGAGAUAGACAGAGAGGCAAGCUUUGUUUGAAUCAGAAGCAAUAUCUGAAAAAGGUAUUACAAUGUUUUGGUGUAAAUGAAAACACAAAACAUGUAAGUACCCCACUUGCUUCUCAUUUGAAACUUAGUGCUCAAUUAUCUCCAAAAACUGAAGAAGAAAGAGAAUAUAUGGCAAAAGUCCCAUUUGCUAAUGCAGUUGGGAGUUUGAUGUAUGCGAUGGUGUGUACGAGGCCUGACAUUUCACAAGCUGUUGGAGUUGUGAGCAGGUAUAUGCAUGAUCCUGGAAAAGGACAUUAGCAAGCUGUGAAAUGGAUUCUACGGUAUCUUCGAAAAACCGUAGAUGUUGGUUUAAUUUUUGAACAGGAUGAAGCACUUGGUCAGUUUGUAGUUGGAUAUGUUGAUUCCGACUUUGCUGGUGAUUUAGAUAAACGUCGUUCAACUAUGGGGUAUCUGUUUACUCUUGCGAAAGCCCCAGUGAAUUGGAAGUCUACCUUACAGUCUACAGUAGCUGUGUCUACUACAGAGGCAGAAUAUAUGGCAGUUACAGAAGCUGUUAAGGAGGCUAUUUGGCUUAAUGGAUUGUUGAAAGACUUAGGAGUUGUUCAAAGUCACAUAAGUUUAUAUUGUGACAGUCAGAGCGCUAUUCAUUUAGCGAAAAAUCAAGUCUAUCAUUCAAGAACCAAGCAUAUCGACGUAAGAUAUCACUUUGUGCGGGAAGUCUUUGAAAAAUGAAAAAUUCUACUUGAGAAGAUUCCGACAGCAGAUAAUCCCGCAGAUAUGAUGACCAAGGUGGUAACAACAAUCAAGUUUAAUCAUUGUUUGAACUUGAUUAACAUCUUGAGAAUUUGAGCACCUUUAGGUGUAUGGCGCUCGAGAGCGCAUUUGGAGGCACUACAAAAGAUAGCUUUAUCGAAUUUGGGGAGUUGAAGGAAGUAUGUGAAGAUGUGAUUAUCCUAAUCAAAUCUUCAAGGUGGAGAUUGUUGAAAAGUCAAAAAUGGUGGGAGGUGCAAUUGGCACCGAAAGAAAAAAAAUAGUUGGCAAGUUGUUUAAAGUUGAAAGGGAUAAUUGCAAUUUUGGUCCCUAAUUUUUUAGGCCAUUUGCAAGUUAGUCCCUGAACUUCAACUAUAAAUAGGCCUAACCAUUUCUCAUUUCAACCAUCCCAACCAAUCUUUCUCUUUUAGUUUUCUCUCUUCUCCCAUUUGAGAAUUCUUAAGGAAUUCUAUUUGUUUGUAAUACUUUGAAGAUAGUAAAGUUAUCAUCUGGUGUUAGUGCCCGAGGACGUAGGUAUAAUUUACCGAACCUCGUUAAAACUCUUGUGUUCUUUUUUGUCCUAUUUUUCUUUCAAUAUUUGAGGGUAUAAUAGUAGUAUUUAAUUGUGCUAUUAAAUUACUAUAGAAGGGAUAUUCUGUCUAAGGAAAGACUUGGUAUUUAAGAGAUCCAUGUGAUCCACCUCUCUUUCCUGGGAAUUGAACUUUGUGUGAUUUUUUAGUACAAUAAUUUACACGCUUCCGACCCUAUUGGAACAACACCUUCCACACCUUAGUCCCGAAAUUUCAAUUGAAAUUCAUUAGUUUGUCCAAGUGCAGAACAUCUCAACAACUCAGUCUUGAACUUUCUACCUUCCUUUACUACCAAAAUGACUUGAGAUUUGUGGAUCUUUCUCAGAACAAUUUCAGUGGAACUGUCCCAUCUUGGUUGUUAGAAAACAACACAAAGUUAGAAGAUCUCAUCUUGAAGGGUAAUUCUUUUACAGGUCCUCUCACAUUACUGUCGACUCCUAAUUCAAAUGUAUCUUCAAUCGACAUGUUUGACAACAAAAUACAAGGUCAGCUUCCAACCAAUAUAUGUUCAACUUUUCCACAUUUGGAGCAGUUAUUCUUAUCCAAGAAUGCCUUUCAAGGCAAUAUCCCUCCUUGUUUAAGCGCUAUGAAGAAUUUGUCAAUGUUAGAUCUAUCAAACAAUCAAUUGGCUGGAAAAGUACCUCAAGAGUUGGUCAGGAAAAGCUCACUAUUCCUUUUGAGACUGUCAAACAACAACCUCAAGGGAAAUGUAGUUCCUGUGAUUCUCAAUGCAAAUGGGUUACAAAAAUUAUAUUUGGAUGGAAAUCAUUUUUCUGGAGAGAUGAAAAAUUUUGAUGUCUCCACUUUUCAGUUUCCAACAUCACUAACAGAUAUUGAUCUUAGUAACAAUAGAUUGCAUGGAAAGCUUCCAAGAUGGA
rnacentral:lncRNA from 1 species